rnacentral:lncRNA from 1 species
UUUUUUUUUUUUUUUUUACAGUUGCUGUUUUCUGUUUCAAGUCCAAACCAGAGGAAAAAUAGAGAUGUUUUGUCUUCGUAAUACCACCUUCCCUACACCCUAAAAUCUUAGGCAGAGAUAGACAUUAAAAAGAUUAGUACACUUCUAUUAUCACUCCUGGAGAUCUGGAGUUUCUCAAGCUGAAAAUGAAACAAUAUAAUUCUACUCAUUUUCACCAAACUGUCUCUACACUUGCCAAGCAAAAGAAUACAGCCUCAGUGAGCAUGCACUCAGCAGCACACGUCACUGCCAUAAAUACUUAGAAAAAUACCCAAGUAACUACUUGCUGUUGCUGCCCCAGUAUAUGUACCACUCCCUCAAAAUGAAUGUUUGCUCUGACAUUUUUGAAUUAUAAAGCCCCAAGUAUCAAGUUCUGCAUAAGGGAAACAGCAGCUCUCUAGCUGAACAGUGUGAGUCAGAGUGUUUGAUGACAAUGGCAAUUUAUCCUUCAUAUUAUACCCAAUGCAGAAGGAGGUAUAUGAUGUUCAAGGUGGCAGCAGUGAACAGAGACUACGUCUGGAAGGCCUUCAUGUGGUAUCAGUAACUGAUGGGCUUGAAUCUCAGUCUGUUUAACAUGAAAGCCCAGGAUAGGGAAGUGUACACCACCAAGUUUCUGAGUGAUAGCAGUCUAGCCAAUCACAGACUUUAAGGUUACAGUCAAGGACACUGAAAUGCCACCAUGUACUCCAUGUUCAGACUAUAAUUUGUUGCUGGUCAGUUGUUUCUUUAACCUCUACUGGCUACAUUUUGACAGGCCCCAGGAAGGAUUUUAGACUCUUGCCUUAGCAUCUACCUCAUCAUUACUAUCGUCUCAGUAUUCUGUUAUUUUGUCUGUCUGUUCCUUUUCAUGGUGAAUGUUCAAAUAAGUACCCCAGUGUGAUAAUACAUAUUAAUAAUUUUAUUUUCUCAUUUUCAAACAUUUCCUUAUAUAUACUUAGCACAUUUAAAUUGAUUAUACUUUGUAUUUUGUAGUCAGAUUCUCAGGUUAUGAAAACACAUAAAACAUAUACAUAUAUGCAUAUUGUGUAUCUGUAGGAAAGAUCAUACAUUGGAUUGGUCAGAAUCCAAUAUAUACUCAAAGCAGGCUAGAACCUUUGGCAAUGUGUGGUCAAGAAUUCUUUCAAGGUAACAGAUUGUACUAAUAGACUAUGAUGAUUCUCAUGAAACAAAAAAUGCCAAGAUUCUUAUGCAGGUGUCCCUUUCCAAACCAUUAAUUGCAUAUUCAUUCUGGGGAAAGCAAAUAUCAUCUUAAUUUCCUCUUCUUGAGUCACCCUUAUUUUAAAAUCCUGCUUGCCUGAGCUUUGUGAAAUAUAUAUCUUGAUAGAUUAUGGAAAACUUAGUUGUUUGUAACCUUAAUAGAGUCAAAAGCAAACUAAGUGUUACCACAGGCCCAUAAUUUCCACCUUAAGAUAAGUGCCAGAAUACUCCCCUAUGAAAUGAAUUAAAAUUUUUUGAUUAUUAUAAUAUUAAUAAAAACAUAAUCAUGAAAGGAAGAAAAUAAUAUCAAAAUACAAGUAGGCAUUUAUUGUCCACCAUUUUUUUACCCAAUUACAAAAGACAAAUGAGAGUUUAAAAAAGUGUUAUGCCAUUAUUACAUUUAAUAAAUCCUCCAUUCCAGUUUUCUGGAAAUACAGAGGAUAGAGGAACAGGUUAAAUGACACCACAAGGAAAAGAUCAGACAAAUUCAGAAUGUAGAACGUCCUACAAGACAACAGGUCUAGAUACUUUAAAGAAUUCAGUAUUAUAGGGCAGCCUGGGUGGCUCAGUGGCUUAAUGCCACCUUCAGCCCAGGGCAUGAUCCUGGAGACUCGGGAUGGAGUCCCGUAUCGGGCUCCCUGUGUGAGCCUGUUUCUUUCUCUGCCUGUGUCUCUGCCUCUCUCUGUGUGUCUCUCAUAAAUAAAAUCUUUUUUUUUUUAAAGAAUUCAGUAUUAUAAAAGACGGGACUGUUCUAGAAUAAAUAGAUGAAUACCCAAUACAAUCAUGCAACUUGGUUAAAAAAUUAAUUUCCUAAGACAUUAUUUAUAACAAGUGGUUAAAAAGUGCAUUUGUAAAAGGAACUCAGGAGUGCAUAUGAAUUCUUAUCAAAAUUGAAGAAAAUUGAGGAAUAAUAAUGGAAAAAUAAUGAGAUGGAAUAGGGACUGGAUUUUUAGAUAAUAUUAUGGAAUCACUGUUAAUUUUGUUAAGUCUGCUAGUAGGAUCAUGACUGUAGGAUAAUGUCCUUAUACCUAGGAGAUGCCUGAUGAAAAAUUUAGAGGUGAAGUGUUAUGAUAUCUUCAAAGUCACUUUCAAAUGGCUCAGCAAGUAAUGGGUAUUUGUGUGUAGAAUAAACAAAUAUAUAGAUAGAAUAAAUAUGGUGAAAAAUAAGUUUUAAAUUUGGAUGGAGGGUAGAGUUAUGUUUGUAUAAUUUUCUAACCUUUCUAUACAUUUGAAACAUUUCUCAUACAAAUAUUUUUUUUCAGAGUGAGAGAGAGUGCAUAAGUGGGGGAGAGAGACAAAGGGAAAGGGAGAGAGAAAACUUAAGCAGCCUUCACAUCCAGCAUGGAGCCUGACAGGGGUCUCCAUUCACUAUGAGAUCACAACCUGAACCUAAAUCAAGAGUCAGAAACAACCAACUGAGCCACCCAGGUGCCCCCUAAUAUUUAAUAGACUUAAUUUUUUAGAGCAGUUUUAGAUUUUGCAGAAAAUUGAGCAAAUAGUAUAAAGAGUUACCAUAUACCCACUCUCUUGUGCUCAUAGUGUUCCCUAGUAUUAACAUCUUGCAUUAGUGCGGUACAUUUAUUACAAUUAAUGAACCAAUAUUGAUCCAUUAUUACUUUUUUUUUAAGAUUUUUUAUUUUUUAUUUAUUCAUGAUAGACAUAGAGAGAGAGAGGGAGAGACACAGGCAGAGGGAGAAGCAGGCUCCAUGCAGGGAGCCCAACGUGGGACUCCAUCCCGGGACUCCAGGAUCACGCCGUGGGCCAGAGGCAGGCGCUAAACCGCUGAGCCACCCAUGGAUCCCCUGGUCCAUUAUUAUUAACUAGGGUCUGUCAUUUAUAUUACGGUUCAUUCUUUGUGUUUUAUGGAUUUUGACAAAUGCAUAAUGUCAUGUAUCCACCAUUAUGGUAUCAUAAAGAAAAGUUUCAAUACCUCUCAGAUCUCCUGUGUUUUACCUCUUAAUUCACGUCCUCUUUCCAACUGGCAAUUACUAAUCUUCUUAGUGUAUCUUUACUUUUGCCUUUUCCAGAAUGUCAUGUAGUUGCAGUAGUGGAGUAUGUGUCUUUCCAGACUGAUUUCUUUCACUAAGCAACAUGCACUUAAAUUUCCUCCAUGUCUUUUUUUGGUUGAAACUCACUUCUUUUUAUCAAAUAUUUUAAAUACAAAAAAACUUUAAACACCUAACAACAGAUUGCAACAUAUAUAUCUUGUUUGUCACCUGAUUUAACAAAUUAUCUCUAAAAAGACAUUUUUAAAAGAUAACAGGAAAAUUCAAUACUUAAUGAAUCUUUGAUAUUAUGAAAUUAUUAGCAUAUCUAGAUGUGAUGACUGAUUUGAGGUUAUACAAAAAAUGCUCUUACCUGUUAGAAA